rnacentral:rRNA from 1 species
CGAAGCUACGGCAUCAGUAAUGAUGGGUAGGGGAGCUUCCCAUACGGGUUGAAGCAUGACCGUAAGGACAUGUGGACAGUAUGGGAGUGAGAAUGUUGGCAUGAGUAGCGAGAUGUGGGUGAGAAUCACACAGGCCGUAAACCCAAGGUUUCCAGGGGAAGGUUCGUCCGCCCUGGGUUAGUCGGGACCUAAGCUGAGGCCGAAAGGCGUAGG